AUCGCUUCUCGACCUUUUGGCUAAGAUCAAGUGUAGUAUCUGAGAACUGUACAUGGUCGGUCUUUUGGCAAAAAUCAGGUGUAGUUUCUGGGUGCUACACAUGAUCCUUAUUAUUCACUUUCUUCUUUUCUAAACUCUGCAUCAUGCAUGGUAACUGGGAGCCAUGCACAAUACUUACUAUUCACUUUCUUAU